rnacentral:tRNA from 1 species
GGCUCCAUAGUGUAGUGGUUAGCACGUCUGCUUUACAUCCAGAAUGUCCUGGGUUCGCGCCCCAGGUGGAGCCA